rnacentral:rRNA from 1 species
UACGUAGGAGGCGAGCGUUUGUUCGGAAUUACUGGGCGUAAAGCGCGUGUAGGCGGUUGUUCAAGUCGGGUGUGAAAGCCUUGAGCUCAACUCAAGAAAUGCACUCGAUACUGGAUGACUUGAGGACCGGAGAGGAUAGUGGAAUUCCCAGUGUAGUGGUGAAAUACGUAGAGAUUGGGAAGAACACCAGUGGCGAAGGCGGCUAUCUGGACGGUUUCUGACGCUAAGACGCGAAAGCGUGGGGAGCAAACAGG